rnacentral:rRNA from 1 species
GACGAACGCUGGCGGCGUGCCUAAUACAUGCAAGUCGAACGCUUCUUUCCUCCCGAGUGCUUGCACUCAAUUGGAAAGAGGAGUGGCGGACGGGUGAGUAACACGUGGGUAACCUACCCAUCAGAGGGGGAUAACACUUGGAAACAGGUGCUAAUACCGCAUAACAGUUUAUGCCGCAUGGCAUAAGAGUGAAAGGCGCUUUCGGGUGUCGCUGAUGGAUGGACCCGCGGUGCAUUAGCUAGUUGGUGAGGUAACGGCUCACCAAGGCCACGAUGCAUAGCCGACCUGAGAGGGUGAUCGGCCACACUGAGACUGAGACACGGCCCAGACUCCUACGGGAGGCAGCAGUAGGGAAUCUUCGGCAAUGACGAAAGUCUGACCGAGCAACGCCGCGUGAGUGAAGAAGGUUUUCGGAUCGUAAAACUCUGUUGUUAGAGAAGAACAAGGACGUUAGUAACUGAACGUCCCCUGACGGUAUCUAACCAGAAAGCCACGGCUAACUACGUG